UGAGAUUCUCUUUUCUUCAUUC
rnacentral:miRNA from 1 species